rnacentral:rRNA from 1 species
CAGUAGCCACGGUAAAACGUAGGGUGCAAGCGUUAAUCGGAAUUACUGGGCGUAAAGCGUGCGCAGGCGGUUAUAUAAGUCAGAUGUGAAAUCCCCGGGCUCAACCUGGGAACUGCAUUUGAGACUGUAUGGCUAGAGUGUGUCAGAGGGGGGUAGAAUUCCACGUGUAGCAGUGAAAUGCGUAGAGAUGUGGAGGAAUACCGAUGGCGAAGGCAGCCCCCUGGGCCAAUACUGACGCUCAUGCACGAAAGCGUGGGGAGCAAACAGGAUUAGAUACCCCUGUAGUCCCUGUCUCUUAUAC